GUGAGGAAUAUUGGUCAAUGGGCGAGAGCCUGAACCAGCCAAGUCGCGUGAAGGAAGAAGGAUCUAUGGUUCGUAAACUUCUUUUGCAGGGGAAUAAAGUGCAGGACGUGUCCUGUUUUGUAUGUACCCUGAGAAUAAGGAUCGGCUAACUCCGUGCCAGCAGCCGCGGUAAUACGGAGGAUCCGAGCGUUAUCCGGAUUUAUUGGGUUUAAAGGGUGCGUAGGUGGGUUGAUAAGUCAGCGGUGAAAGUUUGUAGCUUAACUGUAAAAAUGCCGUUGAAACUGGCGGACUUGAGUGUAAAUGAGGUAGGCGUAAUGCGUGGUGUAGCGGUGAAAUGCAUAGAUAUCACGCAGAAGUCCGAUUGCGAAGGCAGCUUACUAAGCUACAACUGACACUGAAGCACGAAAGCGUGGGGAUCAAACAGGAUUAGAAACCCGGGUAGUCC
rnacentral:rRNA from 1 species